UUGCCAUGGGCGCAAGCCUGNAUGCAGCCAUGCCGCGUGUAUGAAGAAGGCCUUCGGGUUGUAAAGUACUUUCAGCGGGGAGGAAGGCGAUAAGGUUAAUAACCUUGUCGAUUGACGUUACCCGCAGAAGAAGCACCGGCUAACUCCGUGCCAGCAGCCGCGGUAAUACGGAGGGUGCAAGCGUUAAUCGGAAUUACUGGGCGUAAAGCGCACGCAGGCGGUCUGUCAAGUCGGAUGUGAAAUCCCCGGGCUCAACCUGGGAACUGCAUUC
rnacentral:rRNA from 1 species